rnacentral:rRNA from 1 species
GUAGGUGGCAAGCGUUGUCCGGAAUUAUUGGGCGUAAAGCGCGCGCAGGUGGUUCUUUAAGUCUGAUGUGAAAGCCCCCGGCUCAACCGGGGAGGGUCAUUGGAAACUGGGGAACUUGAGUGCAGGAGAGGAAAGUGGAAUUCCACGUGUAGCGGUGAAAUGCGUAGAUAUGUGGAGGAACACCAGUGGCGAAGGCGACUUUCUGGCCUGUAACUGACACUGAGGCGCGAAAGCGUGGGGAGCAAACAGGGAUUAGAUACCCUGGUAGUCCACGCCGUAAACGAUGAGUGCUAAGUGUUGGGGGGGUUUCCCGCCCCUCAGUGCUGCAGCUAACGCAUUAAGCACGCCGCCUGGGGAUACGGUCGCAAGACUG